GCACCACAGAGCUCCAAACGUGGAAUGCUGACUUGCCGAACGGGUGACACUCUGGUUUUAGCGCUAACUAGGACGACAUGGACGUCUGAAUUUGCGUUUAUAACGCGCAAAUAAACAACCGCAGAAUAGGCGACAUUGGAUGCGUCCGAGAAGCCAUGCAAUUCGGUGACGACGUCAUCUGCCUUUGUGAACAUCCACCGCGGAAUACUGAAGUUAGUAAGUUGAGCCAGUUCAUUGCGGUAAGUAUACCAAUCUUCUAAGAUGCUUGAUGGUGGUUCCUCAUCCCAUUCUGUCCCUGCUAUCCACAAUCGCUGAAUGAAUAUCUUAGCUUUUAUUACGCACGGAGCUAUCCACCCCAGGGGGUCGAAUAACCGCGAAACGUCGGAUAUAAUUUUUCUUUUUGUUACAGGUGCAGACAACGGCGGCAGCUUCACCGAGUAUUGAAAUUCAUCGCGACUUCUAUUCCAGGACGCAUCGAAGACCACCCUGACCUUUGUGGUGAUCUUAUCCUCUCUGACGACUGCAUGAUGUGGCAGGUCGACUCCUCAUCGCGAAAUGGCAACUUCACGACGUACCUUCCAGUUUCAUCUCUACGCGUCGUGGCUGAGAACAAGUCUUCACACCUCUGUUCUUCUUUUGUUAAAAUCUGUGAACUUAAUAAAGGCUCUUUUUCCAAUUCCCAAAA